AACGAACGCUGGCGGCAGGCCUAACACAUGCAAGUCGAACGCUGUAGCAAUACAGAGUGGCAGACGGGUGAGUAACGCGUGGGAACCUACCCUUUGGUUCGGAAUAGCUCAGGGAAACUUGAGGUAAUACCGGAUACGCCCUUCGGGGGAAAGAUUUAUCGCCAAUGGAUGGGCCCGCGUCGGAUUAGCUAGUUGGUGGGGUAACGGCCUACCAAGGCGACGAUCCGUAGCUGGUCUGAGAGGAUGAUCAGCCACACUGGGACUGAGACACGGCCCAGACUCCUACGGGAGGCAGCAGUGGGGAAUAUUGGACAAUGGGCGCAAGCCUGAUCCAGCCAUGCCGCGUGAGUGACGAAGGUCUUCGGAUUGUAAAGCUCUUUUGGCGGGGAAGAUAAUGACGGUACCCGCAGAAUAAGCCCCGGCUAACUUCGUGCCAGCAGCCGCGGUAAUAC
rnacentral:rRNA from 1 species